AUAUCAAUAAGCGGAGGAAAAGAAACCAACAGGGAUUGCCUUUAGUAACGGCGAGUGAAGCGGCAACAGCUCAAAUUUGAAAUCUGGCCCUAGGCCCGAGUUGUAAUUUUCAGAGGAUGCUUUUGGCAAAGCGCUUACCGAGUCCCCUGGAACGGGGCGCCACAGAGGGUGAGAGCCCCGUAUGGUAUGACGCCGAGCCUCUGUAAAGCUCCUUCGACGAGUCGAGUAGUUUGGGAAUGCUGCUCUAAAUGGGAGGUAAAUUUCUUCUAAAGCUAAAUACCGGCCAGAGACCGAUAGCGCACAAGUAGAGUGAUCGAAAGAUGAAAAGCACUUUGAAAAGAGGGUUAAAUAGCACGUGAAAUUGUUGAAAGGGAAGCGCUCGUGACCAGACUUGCGCCGGGCGGAUCAUCCAGCGUUCUCGCUGGUGCACUCCGCCCGGCUCAGGCCAGCAUCGGUUUUCGCCGGGGGACAAAAGCUUCGGGAACGUGGCUCCCUUCGGGGAGUGUUAUAGCCCGUUGCUUAAUACCCCGGCGGGGACCGAGGACCGCGCUUCGGCAAGGAUGCUGGCGUAAUGGUCAUCAGCGACCCGUCUUGAAACACGGACCGAGGAGUCAAGCAUUAGUGCGAGUGUUUGGGUGUAAAACCCGCACGCGUAAUGAAAGUGAGCGUAGGUGAGAGCUUCGGCGCAUCAUCGACCGAUCCUGAUGUUUUCGGAUGGAUUUGAGUAGGAGCAUUAACGCUUGGACCCGAAAGAUGGUGAACUAUACUUGAAUAGGGUGAAGCCAGAGGAAACUCUGGUGGAGGCUCGCAGCGGUUCUGACGUGCAAAUCGAUCGUCAAAUUUGAGUAUAGGGCGAAAGACUAAUCGA
rnacentral:rRNA from 1 species